rnacentral:rRNA from 1 species
CUACGGGGUGCUGCAGUGGGGAAUAUUGCACAAUGGGCGAAAGCCUGAUGCAGCAACGCCGCGUGAGGGACGACGGCCUUCGGGUUGUAAACCUCUUUUAGCAGGGAAGAAGCGAAAGUGACGGUACCUGCAGAAAAAGCACCGGCUAACUACGUGCCAGCAGCCGCGGUAAUACGUAGGGUGCAAGCGUUGUCCGGAAUUAUUGGGCGUAAAGAGCUCGUAGGCGGUUUGUCGCGUCUGCUGUGAAAAUCCGAGGCUCAACCUCGGACCUGCAGUGGGUACGGGCAAACUAGAGUGCGGUAGGGGAGAUUGGAAUUCCUGGUGUAGCGGUGGCAUGCGCAGAUAUCAGGAGGAACACCAAUGGCGAAGGCAGAUCUCUGGGCCGUAACUGACGCUGAGGAGCGAAAGCGUGGGGAGCGAACAGGAUUAGAUACCCUAGUAGUC